AUUUAGUCUUAAAAAUAUAUUUAGUUGGGGCGACGAAAGUAUAAUUAAUAAUAACUGCUUAAAUUUAAUACAAUAAUAAAUGAUUUUUUUUUAAUUGAUCCUUUUUAAAGAUUAAAGACCAAGUUACUUUAGGGAUAACAGCGUAAUUUUUUUUGAGAGUUCAUAUCGAAGAAGAAGUUUGCGACCUCGAUGUUGAAUUAAAAUAUCUUUAUAGUGCAGCAGCUAUAAAAAGAAGGUCUGUUCGACCUUUAA
rnacentral:rRNA from 1 species